rnacentral:SRP_RNA from 1 species
GCCGGGUGUGGUUGUGUGUGCCUAUAGUCCCAGCUACUCUGGAGGCUGAGGCUGGAGGAUCUCUUGAGUCCAGGAGUUCUGGGUUGUAGUGCGCUAUGCCGAUCAGGUGUUCACACUAAGUUCGGCAUCAAUAUGGUGACCUACCAGGAGCGGGGGACCACCAGGUUGCCUGAGGAGGGGUGAACCGGCCCACGUUGGAAAUGGAGCAGGUCAAAACUCCCAUGCUGAUGAGUAGUGGGAUAGUGCCUGUGAAUAGCCACUGAACUCCAGCCUGGGCAACCUAUGGAGACCCUGUUUCU